rnacentral:lncRNA from 1 species
GGCCUAUUUGGGAGAGCCUGUCAGAGAAGCUACGGGGAGCUGGCUCUGGUUCAGACAUCUUCCAGGAACACAGAAAACAACCACAUUUUACUAAUUAUAGCGAGGGAAAACACGCUGCGAUUACAGCUAAAUUACAUUAAGACAUAACUGGCUGGCUCGGCCGGCUCUAUCUUUCUGGAUCAGGUUUCAGCCAAGUUGGGUGGUGACACAGGCGGGGCAGGCUGGCGAGGCCUUGGCCGGGGGAGGGUCCCGCAGCCUCUUUUCCUGUGGGGUCGUGACCCUGGGGUGACAGUGUGGUGUCCCAGGGCCAGUUGCAGCUUAUGUGACCAGCAGCUACCCCUCCCUACAAGGGGCUUCCCUGGGCCCCUGGGCUGGAACAAACUGCCCAGAGGGCCGCUGAGUCAUCCAGCCCCUCCUCUCCUUUCCCUCCCAGAACUGAGGAUCAGAGAAUUCAGGGCUGGAAGGAAGGUCUUGGGGCCAAAGCCUUGGUCUUUCGAAGGUAGUUCUUGCAUGUGGAGUGGUGGAAUGGGGUCUGGAGUUUGGGCCACACUGAGAUGCCAUUUCUCUGAUCAUCAUACCUGAUGCACAAUCCAAGGAGACGGCCCAGGGUCAUCUCUUCUGCCUGAAUAGCUGAGAGGAGUCCUGCAAUCUUAGAGCCAUUUUCCCAAGAAACCUGACCUAGAACAUACUCUCUCUUAAGAUUCAAAUAAACUGUUGUCAAGAACUGUAAAAGG